rnacentral:ncRNA from 20 species
GCAUAGACCAAGGGGGGUUCCGGCAAGGAACUGAGAGUCCACUUUGUCCCGCAAGGACGCGUGGUGACCCUGCCACCAGAAGCAUAUUGCCUCUGGUGGGGAACCUGAUCCGGAUCAUACCGGCGGAGGGACUGGUGCCAGAAGAUGCU